rnacentral:lncRNA from 10 species
UGUAGCCAUCUUUGCAGUAAUCCAAAACCAAAUAUGAUAUCAGUAAGGCCUUAUUUAUCCAUAAGGAAAAGAGAUAAACUUGACUUCAAUUUUUGAGAUUUUGUGAAUAACCGAGGACAAAAUGAAAUUAUAUGAUCUGAGAGAAGAGGCAUCGAACAUUUUCUUCCAUAAAGGAUUGGAAAAGGAAGAUAAUAAUUUAUGACUACAGUUCUAGAGGCUGGGAAAUUCAGGAUUAAGCCAUGGGCAGGUUU